CCACUGAGCAGCCUUGCAUUGUAGGUUCUUUUUUUUUUUUGAGGCACCUCCAUACUGUUUUCCAUAAUGGCUGUACUAACUUAUAUUCCCAUCAACAAUGAAGUUCUCAUUUCUUUGCAUCUUCUCCAAAAAUUGUCUUUCCUCUUUUUGACAAAAACCACUCUACUCUCCUCGUCUGUCGUUGAACUGGAGUGUUUCCUGUCUGGCCUCCUCCCAGCGGUGCUGACCUUGGUGCUGGGGAUCAUGCCCAGACCCCUGAGCUACCUCGCUAGUCUGAGAGGGAUCUGGAAAAGAUGUUGUCAACUCUUCUAGGAAGAAAACAGAAGAUUUAGUCUCCUUUGUCCCCCUGGAUAUUUUUCUGCCCAGAUGUGAUACCCGGAAUCAUGGCAGCACUCUUGAGACUAUGAGGGGAGACAGUCUGGGAACAAAGCUGAUCUACAGAGGUAUGAAAAAACCUGGAUUAUUGAAGUUGUCAAAUCAACCCUGAAGUCACUCUACCUCUGGCCCUCAUGUUGAAUGGGGAAGAUGAACCUGUAAUAACUGAACUAGAAUUGUGCAUCAAAAUCCUCAAAUAAAAUGCAAGAAAAUGAGUUUUCUGGUAGCCUGCAAUGCUAUCCAGAGAUUAUAUUUUCUUCCUGCAGGCCUUGUGCUGAGCACUUCAUCAUCUCACUCAGUUCUCACAAUAACCUCCUCAGGAAACUUCCUCAGAGAGCUUAAGUAACUUGCCUAACAUCACACAGGAGGAGCUGGAAUUUAAAUAUAGACAGGCUGACUACAAACCUGGUUCCCCAAACAAGGGGGAAGAAUACCCAGGGACCUGCUGUAGGAUGUUGGGGUGAGGAGGUGAAAAGCAACGGACAGAUAGAUCUCUUAGUGCUUAAGGACGACCACGACGGUGAUGGGAUCCUGGGAGGAGAUGUUGCUACAGUCAAGAAAGCUUCCUGAAACGAGCCAGUCCCCCCAAACCAGAGGUCGAAUGUUCUCUGUGUAUGUGGAUUCUAACAUCCGAUAAGGGGUGGUGGAGGUAGGGAAGAAUAGAAGUUCAUUGGAUGAGACCAAGGGGAAUGAAGGGAAGGGAGGGGGAAGGAAUGGGAAAGACAGGAGAGUGACAUCAGGCAGAACUUUCCUGUGUUCACAUAUGAAUUCACCACCAGUGUAACUCCACAUGCUGUACAACCCCAAGGAUGGGAAGUCAGACUCCUUGUAUGUGUGACAUGUCAAAAUACACUCUACUGUCAUGUAUAACGUGAAAACAAUUUUUUUAAGUUAAAAAAAAAAGCUAAAAAAC
rnacentral:lncRNA from 1 species